ensembl:lncRNA
AUUCCUUUUCUGGAUGUGUAGUGAAUUACAGCUCAGUGCCAGACCAGACAUUAAUGAGAGAUGAUCUGUGCUUCGAGGAGUUGUGGGAAAAGAGCUCCUGCAGAAAGCACAGGCCUUCCUUCACUGCACGAGCAUGACAGAUGUGUCCAAAAUGACCCCGGAUCAGUUUAUCAGGCCUCUGAAGAAUACGCAACACACCCUUGAUUUGGAAUAUAUUCUCUUAUAGUUGAUAUUUAAUACUGACUGACUAGAUUACUGACAAAAAUGUAGCUGUUGGAUAGCUGGGGCCUGUUGUGAAGCUGGCACAAGAGCUACCGGUCUUCAAUCUGUCCUCCUUCUCAUCUCAUAACCCUCUCCAAAAAAACCCUGUUGUUGAAAGAUGGGGUCAUCCAUCCAGUCACCAGCAUGAAGUCUCACAGAUCACCAAAAGAAGAGAGGGUACUGAACAAGGCCAACACAGCUGUUA